rnacentral:rRNA from 1 species
GGUUGUCAUCAAAGAAUUGGGGGAAUGUGACUUUUCUUCGGUAAAGUGUUAUAGACCCUGAUUGAUGUGGCGACUGGGAUUGAGGUUUGCAGCGGAUGCCUCUUGUGGCUAGUCACCUGUCUUCUGACCGUCACCUCACUUUUGACAGCUUGCUGAUGAUUGCGGGAUUUGGCGACCUAGAAGUUAGAGUGAACAUAAAUUCGCUAAGGAUGCUGACGUAAUGGCUUUAAACGACCCGUCUUGAAACACGGACCAAGGAGUCUAACAUAUGUGCGAGUGUUUGGGUGAUAAAACCCGGAACGCGUAAUGAAAGUGAUUCUGGUGGGAACCCCUCGGGGUGCACCAUCGACCGAUCAGGAUAUUCUUUGAUAGAUUUGAGUAAGAGCA